rnacentral:rRNA from 1 species
AUUGAACGCUGGCGGCAGGCUUAACACAUGCAAGUCGAGCGGGGGAAGGUAGCUUGCUACCGGACCUAGCGGCGGACGGGUGAGUAAUGCUUAGGAAUCUGCCUAUUGGUGGGGGACAACAUCUCGAAAGGGAUGCUAAUACCGCAUACGUCCUACGGGAGAAAGCAGGGGAUCUUCGGACCUUGCGCUAAUAGAUGAGCCUAAGUCGGAUUAGCUAGUUGGUGGGGUAAAGGCCUACCAAGGCGACGAUCUGUAGCGGGUCUGAGAGGAUGAUCCGCCACACUGGGACUGAGACACGGCCCAGACUCCUACGGGAGGCAGCAGUGGGGAAUAUUGGACAAUGGGGGGAACCCUGAUCCAGCCAUGCCGCGUGUGUGAAGAAGGCCUUAUGGUUGUAAAGCACUUUAAGCGAGGAGGAGGCUACUUUAGUUAAUACCUAGAGAUAGUGGACGUUACUCGCAGAAUAAGCACCGGCUAACUCUGUG